UACGUAGGGAGCAAGCGUUGUCCGGAAUUACUGGGCGUAAAGGGCGCGAAGGCGGGUUAUUAAGUCAGAUGUGAAAACUCCGGGCUUAACUUGGAGACUGCAUUUGAAACUGGUAAUCUUGAGGUCAGGAGAGGAAAGUGGAAUUCCUAGUGUAGCGGUGAAAUGCGUAGAUAUUAGGAGGAACACCAGUGGCGAAGGCGACUUUCUGGACUGUACCUGACGAUGAUGCGCGAAAGCGUGGGUAGCGAACGGGAUUAGAUACCCCGUAGUCCCUGAGCGGG
rnacentral:rRNA from 1 species